UCCAAGGGUUGAGGGUCAUAGUCCAGGGC
rnacentral:sRNA from 1 species